AGGACUCAUCAACAAGAUCGGAGAUGCACUCCACAUUGGAGGAGGCAACAAGGAAGGUGAGCACAAGAAGCACGAAGAGGAACACAAGAAACACGUUGACGAGCACAAGAGUGGUGAACACAAAGAGGGUAUCGUUGACAAGAUCAAAGACAAGAUCCAUGGUGGAGAAGGCAAAAGCCACGAUGGUCAUGAAGGCAAAAGCCAUGACGGUGAGAAGAAAAAGAAGAAGGACAAGAAGGAGAAGAAACACCAUGGUGAUGGUCACCACAGCAGCAGCAGUGACAGCGACAGCGAUUAAGGUUUUGUUUUGUUUUGUUUCCUCAACUUAAUAAAUCAUUAACUAAAAAAGAAUUAUUAAGCAAAUAUUUGUUAAUAAGUCUUAGAUCUUGAAACAAAAGCUAAGUAUUACUAAGUUCUUGAUCUUGAACUCAAAAGUUUUGGAUCUUGAAAACAUUUCGUAUUAUCUUUAAGCAAAUAUUAAUUAAUAAGUCUUGGAUCUUGAAAAAUGCUUAAUCCGCGUAUUUAGUGGUCGAUCUAAGUUAUCAAUGAAAAGUUGAAAUUUUUACUUAUUUGUAAAUCAUGAACUAAUCUUGGAUCUUGAAAAAGAAAAGUUUUGGAUCUUGAAAACACUGCGAAGGAUCCGUUCAUUUUCGGAUAUUUUGCCGGUUUGGUUCGGUUCGGUUCAUCUCGGUUCGAUUAUUCGGUUCGGUGUAUCUUUUGCCUAGGCCUAGCUUGUAGAUAACUAGGUAUGUUGAAUUAUUGUUGUACUUAUUAAAUGUUUGUUUGAUUUGUAGGUG
rnacentral:lncRNA from 1 species